rnacentral:tRNA from 1 species
GCUUCGGUAGCAUAGUCUGGUAAUGCGUCUGCCUCGUAAGCAGAAGAUCGAGAGUUCAAAUCUCUCCCGGGGCU